AUUGAACGCUGGCGGCAGGCCUAACACAUGCAAGUCGAACGAGUGGCGGACGGGUGAGUAAUGUCUGGGAAACUGCCUGAUGGAGGGGGAUAACUACUGGAAACGGUGGCUAAUACCGCAUACCAUCGGAUGUGCCAAGAUGGGAUUAGCUUGUGGGUGGGGUAACGGCUCACCCAGGCGACGAUCCCUAGCUGGUCUGAGAGGAUGACCAGCCACACUGGAACUGAGACACGGCCUCGACGCCUACGGGAGGCAGCAGUGGGGAAUAUUGCACAAUGGGCGCAAGCCUGAUGCAGCCAUGCCGCGUGUAUGAAGAAGGCCUUCGGGUUGUAAAGUACUUUCAGCGGGGAGGCGGUACCCGCAGAAGAAGCACCGGCUAACUCCGUGCCAGCCGCCGCGGUAAUAC
rnacentral:rRNA from 1 species